rnacentral:rRNA from 1 species
GACGAACGCUGGCGGCGUGCCUAACACAUGCAAGUCGAGCGGAGAAACCAUAAUAGCUUGCUAUAUUGGAUUCUUAGCGGCGGAUGGGUGAGUAACGCGUGGGAAACCUACCUUAUAGAGGGGGAUAGCCUCGGGAAACCGGGAUUAAUACCCCACGAAACUUAAAGCUUACAUGAGCUAAAAGUCAAAGCGAUCAAGCGCUAUAAGAUGGUCCCGCGUCCCAUUAGCUAGUUGGUGAGAUAACAGCUCACCAAGGCAACGAUGGGUAGCCGACCUGAGAGGGUGACCGGCCACACUGGGACUGAGACACGGCCCAGACUCCUACGGGAGGCAGCAGUGGGGAAUAUUGCGCAAUGGGGGAAACCCUGACGCAGCAACGCCGCGUGAGCGAUGAAGGCCUCGGUCGGUAAGACGUCUGUCUUUGGGAGUGAAAAAAUAGACAGUACCAAACGAGGAAG